rnacentral:rRNA from 1 species
UACAGAGGAUGCAAGCGUUAUCCGGAAUGAUCGGGCUUAAAGCGUCUGUAGGUGGCUUUUUAAGUCCGCCGUCAAAUCCCAGGGCUCAACUCUGGACAGGCGGUGGAAACUACCAAGCUGGAGUACGGUAGGGGCAGAGGGAAUUUCCGGUGGAGCGGUGAAAUGCGUAGAGAUCGGAAUGAACACCAACGGCGAAAGCACUCUGCUGGGCCGACACUGACACUGAGAGACGAAAGCUAGGGGAGCGAAUGGG